AGAGUUUGAUCAUGGCUCAGGAUGAACGCUAGCGGCAGGCCUAACACAUGCAAGUCGAACGGUAAGUUGAAAGCUUGCUUUCAACACGAGUGGCGCACGGGUGCGUAACGCGUAUGCAAUCUACCCUUUUCAGGAGGAUAGCCCUUAGAAAUGAGGAUUAAUACUCCAUAGUAUAACAAUUUCGCAUGUUAUUGUUAUUAAAGCUUCGGCGGAAAAGGAUGAGCAUGCGUCCCAUUAGUUUGUUGGUGAGGUAACGGCUCACCAAGACUGCGAUGGGUAGGGGGCCUGAGAGGGUUAUCCCCCACACUGGUACUGAGACACGGACCAGACUCCUACGGGAGGCAGCAGUGAGGAAUAUUGGUCAAUGGACGGAAGUCUGAACCAGCCAUGCCGCGUGCAGGAUGACUGCCCUAUGGGUUGUAAACUGCUUUUAUAUAGGAAGAAACCUUUCUACGUGUAGAGAGCUGACGGUACUAUAAGAAUAAGGACCGGCUAACUCCGUGCCAGCAGCCGCCGCGGUAAUAC
rnacentral:rRNA from 1 species